rnacentral:rRNA from 1 species
UACGUAGGGUGCAAGCGUGUCCGGAAUUAUUGGGCGUAAAGAGCUCGUAGGCGGUUUGUUGCGUCGGCUGUGAAAUCCCGAGGCUCAACCUCGGGUCUGCAGUCGAUACGAGCAAACUAGAGUGUUGCAGGGGAGACUGGAAUUCCUGGUGUAGCGGUGAAAUGCGCAGAUAUCAGGAGGAACACCGGUGGCGAAGGCGGGUCUCUGGGCAUUAACUGACGCUGAGGAGCGAAAGCAUGGGGAGCGAACAGG